ACCGACCGCCUUGGGGGAACAUCUUCCCAAUAGAUCCCAAGAUAACAAGGUCUUGUCUCGUCCUUAUCGCUUGUCUCGUGAAAGGCCAAGUUACAGCCAUGGCAGACACGGAACAUCCCUCGGUGACCAAUUUUCGGAAUUAUGUAAAGAUAAAGACUGUACAGCCAAGCCCGGAUUAUGCAAGCUGCACAGAGUUCUUACUCGAGCAAGCGAAGGAGCUUGGCGCCGAGUCCCAAGUGGUUGAGUGUGUCCCUGGGAAACCCAUAGUAUUGAUGAAGUUGAUGGGAGAAGACCCAUCCCUGCCAUCAGUCCUGCUCAACUCUCAUACAGACGUUGUUCCUGUAUUUCCUGAACACUGGAAAUAUGAACCAUUUAGUGCACAUAAAGAUGAAAAUGGUGACAUCUAUGGACGAGGAACCCAAGACAUGAAGUGUGUUGGAAUUCAAUACAUGGAAGCACUUAAGGAAUUAAAGAAGAAAGGCCAUAAGUUCCUUCGCACAAUUUAUCUUUCCUUUGUUCCAGAUGAAGAGAUUGGAGGUAAGAAUGGCAUGUUUGAAUUUGUCAAGAUUGACAUAUUCAAGAAGAUGAAUGUUGGAUUUGCCUUGGACGAAGGCUAUGCCAACCCAACAGAGAAGUUUACAGUAUUUUAUGGAGAAAGAGCACCAUGGUGGGUUUUGGUAAAGUGCCCUGGUCAGCCAGGUCAUGGCUCACAAUUCUUGCCCAACACUGCUGGUGAGAAGCUGCGAAAGGUUAUAAACUCUUUCCUCAAGUACCGCGAUGAACAGGAACUCAAGCUGAAGGAAAAUGAGGAUAUUCAGCUUGGUGAUGUAACAUCAGUAAACCUAACAAUAUUGGAGGGUGGUGUGCAGUUCAAUGUUGUGCCUUCAGAGCUUUCCGUUGGCUUUGACAUUCGUAUCACACCAACGCAAGACCUUGGAGAGUUUGAAGAGAUGAUCAAAGGCUGGUGCAAGGCAGCUGGCAAAGAUGUUGUAUAUGAGUUUAGGCAGAAGGACAUGUGUCAGAGUAUUACAUGUGUGGAAGAUGGCAAGUCUAUUUGGUGGGAUACAUUCUCAGAAGCUUGCAAGAAGGAAGGAGUAAGUUUAGUGAAAGAAAUUUUCCCAGCAGCCACAGACAGCAGGUUCAUUAGGAAGCUUGGUAUCCCAGCACUUGGGUUUUCCCCCAUGAAUAGAACGCCGAUCCUCCUCCACGACCACAAUGAGUUCCUCAAUGAGAAGAUAUUCCUUCGUGGAAUCGAGAUCUACAUGACUAUCAUCCCAGACCUUGCCAACCUGAGGAGCUAAAUGGCUUGGCAGAAGAGUGACAUUCCCUUCUCAAGAAUGUAUGUAAUACUCCACUUCAUUUGAAAGGAGAAAAAAGAAGAUCUGCGAUUGUUGUAUGUCUUCCGUUUUUGCAUCCAGAUUUUGUACUCAAGUGAAAUCUUCCAAGGGAAAUGAAUUGUGUAGCUGGUUUAUCUACAGCAGCUUUAAGGAUUAAAAUGUACUGUUUUGCCUUUACAGUCUAUUUUAUGAGUAAAAAAUAAUGAUAAUUCUUAUAAGAACAUUGAACUUCCUGUAA